AGUGAACGCUGGCGGUAGGCCUAACACAUGCAAGUCGAACGGCAGCACAGGAGAGCUUGCUCUCUGGGUGGCGAGUGGCGGACGGGUGAGGAAUACAUCGGAAUCUGCCCAGUCGUGGGGGAUAACGUAGGGAAACUUACGCUAAUACCGCAUACGACCUUCGGGUGAAAGAGGGGGAUCGCAAGACCUCUCGCGAUUGGAUGAGCCGAUGUCGGAUUAGCUAGUUGGCGGGGUAAUGGCCCACCAAGGCGACGAUCCGUAGCUGGUCUGAGAGGAUGAUCAGCCACACUGGAACUGAGACACGGUCCAGACUCCUACGGGAGGCAGCAGUGGGGAAUAUUGGACAAUGGGCGCAAGCCUGAACCAGCCAUACCGCGUGGGUGAAGAAGGCCUUCGGGUUGUAAAGCCCUUUUGUUGGGAAAGAAAUCUUUCAGGCUAAUACCCUGGGAGGAUGACGGUACCAAAAGAAUAAGCACCGGCUAACUUCGUG
rnacentral:rRNA from 1 species